UCAUGAAUUAUCAUUGGAAGUGUAGCGACGGUCGUGGCACUGUGCUGCUCAUCUUCUGCUAACUAUUAGGAUAGAACAAGGGCCUGGAAACACUGGGCAGGAUUACACCCUGGACUGACUGAUCAAGCCCAGUGUUAGGAACAUCUGGCCCCGGCGUUUGCACCCCUGCCAUUGGCUGAGAGGAGGCGGUGGAUUAUCAUAUGACACA